CUGCCAUUAUUUUUAUAUGUUUAUAGUUUGAUUCCUUUUGGGACUGCUCAAAAUACCAGUUCUCUGAUAGGAGUAAACAUGAGUCUGUUGUGGUGUUUUGAUUGAUCAUCACUCGAAAGAUUGUAUGCAUAUUUUAUCGAGAUAGUAAUAUGUUGUGGCUAGAUCUGUUGUCAUGGAUAUAUCUUUUGAAUGUACAUCUAAGAUCUCUGGUUUAGUAAUCCCAACAGUAAUAGCUUAUUGCUAAUCCUUUAAUCUUCAUUUCAGAUUGCCUCUGAGGGUCUCAAGCACAGGGUUUUUAAAGUGUCCCUAGCUGAUCUUAACAACGAUGAGGACAAGGCUUACAGGAAGAUCAGACUCCAUGCUGAGGAUGUCCAGGGGAUGAAUGUCCUUACGAACUUCUGGGUAUUGUUUGAAAGGGUUGAUGAUGAGUUCUGGUAGAAGCAUUGUCCUGGUCUUUCAAUAACUGGAAAUGCAUCGACAAGCAUGUACCAUAUAAUGUAGAUUUUUGGGGAAAGAGUUUAUCCUGAUUUUAAAUGACAAAUUUACACUAUUGAGGCACAAGAACAGCAGGCGUGUCAUUGGAGUAAUUAGCUGCAGUCAUGUUGCCUGAUAUAUAUAUGGGCAGAGGGUGGGUGUUGCCUACCUCUCGAUUUUGAUGUAAAAGUCGUAUGAUGAAGUUCAAAUGUUUAUCCUGUUGUGGUCGUGGCACAUAUUCCGGAAGCAAUUCAGUUCGCUAUAGGCCUUACCGAUGGCAUUGUUUAUGUCAUGAUUGGAAGGUUGCAGUUUUUACUUCAAGUUUUAGUUGAAACCUGAUAUUUGGAAUGUUGUGAAGUUACAUGUAGUAGGAUUUGUUAUGAUGUGAUAUAUAGAAUUCUGGAUUAUGUAUAUGUAUUACGGGGUUGAAUACUUUUCUGGUACAUUUGUACAUUUGGA